AGUUUGAUCCUGGCUCAGGAUGAACGCUAGCUACAGGCUUAACACAUGCAAGUCGAGGGGCAGCAUGGUCUUAGCUUGCUAAGGCUGAUGGCGACCGGCGCACGGGUGAGUAACACGUAUCCAACCUGCCGUCUACUCUUGGCCAGCCUUCUGAAAGGAAGAUUAAUCCAGGAUGGGAUCAUGAGUUCACAUGUCCGCAUGAUUAAAGGUAUUUUCCGGUAGACGAUGGGGAUGCGUUCCAUUAGAUAGUAGGCGGGGUAACGGCCCACCUAGUCAACGAUGGAUAGGGGUUCUGAGAGGAAGGUCCCCCACAUUGGAACUGAGACACGGUCCAAACUCCUACGGGAGGCAGCAGUGAGGAAUAUUGGUCAAUGGGCGAUGGCCUGAACCAGCCAAGUAGCGUGAAGGAUGACUGCCCUAUGGGUUGUAAACUUCUUUUAUAAAGGAAUAAAGUCGGGUAUGCAUACCCGUUUGCAUGUACUUUAUGAAUAAGGACCGGCUAACUCCGUGCCAGCAGCCGCGGUAAUACGGAGGAUCCGAGCGUUAUCCGGAUUUAUUGGGUUUAAAGGGGGCGUAGAUGGAUGUUUAAGUCAGUUGUGAAAGUUUGCGGCUCAACCGUAAAAUUGCAGUUGAUACUGGAUGUCUUGAGUGCAGUUGAGGCAGGCGGAAUUCGUGGUGUAGCGGUGAAAUGCUUAGAUAUCACGAAGAACUCCGAUUGCGAAGGCAGCCUGCUAAGCUGCAACUGACAUUGAGGSUCGAAAGUGUGGGUAUCAAACAGGAUUAGAUACCCUGGUAGUCCACACGGUAAACGAUGAAUACUCGCUGUUUGCGAUAUACGGCAAGCGGCCAAGCGAAAGCGUUAAGUAUUCCACCUGGGGAGUACGCCGGCAACGGUGAAACUCAAAGGAAUUGACGGGGGCCCGCACAAGCGGAGGAACAUGUGGUUUAAUUCGAUGAUACGCGAGGAACCUUACCCGGGCUUAAAUUGCACUCGAAUGAUCCGGAAACGGUUCAGCUAGCAAUAGCGAGUGUGAAGGUGCUGCAUGGUUGUCGUCAGCUCGUGCCGUGAGGUGUCGGCUUAAGUGCCAUAACGAGCGCAACCCUUGUUGUCAGUUACUAACAGGUGAUGCUGAGGACUCUGACAAGACUGCCAUCGUAAGAUGUGAGGAAGGUGGA
rnacentral:rRNA from 1 species